GACGAACGCUGGCGGCGUGCCUAAUACAUGCAAGUCGAACGAAGCUGUUUUAACUGGUGCUUGCACCGACUUAAACAACUGAGUGGCGAACGGGUGAGUAACACGUGGGUAACCUGCCCCAAAGCGGGGGAUAACAUUUGGAAACAGAUGCUAAUACCGCAUAACCACAGAAACCACAUGGUUUCUGUGUCAAAGAUGGUUUCGGCUAUCACUUUGGGAUGGACCCGCGGCGUAUUAUCUAGUUGGUAAGGUAAUGGGUUACCAAGGCAAUGAUACGUAGCCGAACUGAAAGGUUGAUCGGCCACAUGGGGACUGAGACACGGCCCAAACUCAUAGUGGAGGCAGCAGUAGGGAAUCGUCCACAAUGGACGAAAGUCUGAUGGAGCAACGCCGCGUGAGUGAAGAAGGUUUUCGGAUCGUAAAACUCUGUUGUCAGAGAAGAACGUGUGCGAGAGUAACUGCUCGUGCAGUGACGGUAUCUGGCCAGAAAGCCACGGCUAACUACGUGCCAGCCGCCGCGGUAA
rnacentral:rRNA from 1 species